GGUUCGAUCCUGGCUCAGAUUGAACGCUGGCGGGAUGUUUUACACAUGCAAGUCGAACAGCAGCACGGACUUCGGUCUGGUGGCGUGUGGCGAACGGGUGAGUAAUGUAUCGGAACGUGCCUAGUAGCGGGGGAUAACUACGCGAAAGCGUAGCUAAUACCGCAUACGCCCUUCGGGGGAAAAGUGGGGACCUUCGGGCCUCGCACUAUUAGGAGCGGCCGAUAUCGGAUUAGCUAGUUGGUGGGGUAACGGCUCACCAAGGCGACGAUCCGUAGCUGGUUUGAGAGGACGACCAGCCACACUGGGACUGAGACACGGCCCAGACUCCUACGGGAGGCAGCAGGGGAAUUUUGGACAAUGGGGAAACCCCGGAUCCAGCCAUCCCGCGUGUGCGAUGAAGGCCUUCGGGUUGUAAAGCACUUUUGGCAGUGUGAAAGAAAACGCACGGGAUAAUACCCCGUGCAACUGACGGUACCUGCAGAAUAAGCACCGGCUAACUACGUGCCAGCACGCGGUAAUACGUAGGGUGCAAGCGUUAAUCAGAAUUACUGGGCGUAAAGCGUGCGCAGGUUACUUCGGAAAGAAAGAUGUGAAAUCCCAGAGCUGAAUCUUCUGGAACUGCAUUUUUAACUACUGAGCUAGAGGUGUCAGAGGGAGGUGGAAUUCCGCGUGUAGCAGUGAAAUGCGUAGAUAUGCGGAGGAACACCGAUGGCGAAGGCAGCCCCCUCGGGAUAACACUGACGCUCAUGCACGAAAGCGUGGGGAGCAAACAGGAUUAGAUACCCUGGUAGUCCACGCCCUAAACGAUGUCAACUAGCUGUUGGGGCCUUCGGGCCUUUGGUAGCGCAGCUAACGCGUGAAGUUGACCGCCGGGGAGUACGGUCGCAAGAUUAAACUCAAAGGAAUUGACGGGGACCCGCACAAGCGGUGGAUGAUGUGGAUUAAUUCGAUGCAACGCGAAAACCUUACCUACCCAUGACAUGUCUGAAUCCUGCUACAACCGGUUCUGUAAUCAAACGAUCGAAGCAAGAGAAUGAACAACGAUAGAUGAGAUGUCGAACCGCUCAAACGGAACAACUGAGUUACGAAAGGGCACUCUAAUGAGACUGCCGGUGACAAACCGGAGGAAGGUGGGGAUGACGUCAAGUCCUCAUGGCCCUUAUGGGUAGGGCUUCACACGUCAUACAAUGGUUGGCUGAGGGUCGCCAACCCGCGAGGGGGAGCCAAUCCCAGAAACCCGAUCGUAGUCCGGAUCGCAGUCUGCAACUCGACUGCGUGAAGUCGGAAUCGCUAGUAAUCGCGGAUCAGCAUGUCGCGGUGAAUACGUUCCCGGUCUUGUACACACCGCCCGUCACACCAUGGGAGUGGGUUUUACCAGAAGUAGUUAGCCUAACCGUAAGGAGGGCGAUUACCACUUGCAGGAUUCAUGACUGGGGUGAAGUCGUAACAAGGUAA
rnacentral:rRNA from 1 species